GAUGAAGAACGUAGUGAAAUGCGAUAAGUAAUGUGAAUUGCAGAAUUCAGUGAAUCAUCGAAUCUUUGAACGCACAUUGCGCCCCUUGGUAUUCCGAGGGGCAUGCCUGUUCGAGCGUCAUUUUGACCACUCCCGCUUGCGGGGUCUUGGGCCUUCGCCUCUGGGCGGGCCUUAAAAUCAGUGGCGGUGCCGUCCGGCUCUAAGCGUAGUAAAUCUCCUCGCUAUAGGGUUCCGGAGGGAUGCUGGCCAACAACCCCCAAUUUUUCUAUGGUUGACCUCGGAUCAGGUAGGGAUACCCGCUGAACUUAAGCAUAUCAAUAAGCGGAGGA
rnacentral:misc_RNA from 1 species